UACGAAGGUGGCAAGCGUUGUUCGGAUUUACUGGGCGUACAGGGAGCGUAGGCGGUUGGAUAAGCCCUCCGUGAAAAUCUCCAGGCUUACCUGGAAAGUGCAGAGGGGACUGUUCAGCUAGAGGAUGGGAGAGGAGCGCGGAAUUCCCGGUGUAGCGGUGAAAUGCGUAGAGAUCGGGAGGAAGGCCAGUGGCGAAGGCGGCGCUCUGGAAACAUUUCUGACGCUGAGGCUCGAAAGCGUGGGAGCAAACAGG
rnacentral:rRNA from 1 species